rnacentral:rRNA from 1 species
UACGUAGGUGACGAGCGUUGUCCGGAUUUACUGGGCGUAAAGAGCGCGCAGGCGGUCGUAUAAGUCGAGUGUGAAAGCCCCCGGCUCAACUGGGGAGGGUCGCUCGAUACUAUUCGACUCGAAGGUGGGAGAGGGAAGCAGAAUUCCCGGUGUAGUGGUGAAAUGCGUAGAUAUCGGGAGGAAUACCAGUGGCGAAGGCGGCUUCCUGGCCCAUUCUUGACGCUGAGGCGCGAAAGCUAGGGGAGCAAACGGG